AUUGAACGCUGGCGGCAUGCUUUACGCAUGCAAGUCGAACGGCAGCGCGGGGUAACCUGGCGGCGAGUGGCGAACGGGUGAGUAAUAUAUCGGAACGUACCCAAGAGUGGGGGAUAACGUAGCGAAAGUUACGCUAAUACCGCAUACGAUCUAUGGAUGAAAGUGGGGGAUCGCAAGACCUCAUGCUCCUGGAGCGGCCGAUAUCUGAUUAGCUAGUUGGUGAGGUAAAGGCUCACCAAGGCGACGAUCAGUAGCUGGUCUGAGAGGACGACCAGCCACACUGGAACUGAGACACGGUCCAGACUCCUACGGGAGGCAGCAGUGGGGAAUUUUGGACAAUGGGCGCAAGCCUGAUCCAGCAAUGCCGCGUGAGUGAAGAAGGCCUUCGGGUUGUAAAGCUCUUUUGUCAGGGAAGAAACGGUUGGGGCUAAUAUCCCCGGCUAAUGACGGUACCUGAAGAAUAAGCACCGGCUAACUACGUGCCAGCAGCCGCGGUAAUACGUAGGGUGCAAGCGUUAAUCGGAAUUACUGGGCGUAAAGCGUGCGCAGGCGGUUUUGUAAGUCUGUCGUGAAAGCCCCGGGCUCAACCUGGGAAUUGCGAUGGAGACUGCAAGGCUUGAAUCUGGCAGAGGGGGGUAGAAUUCCACGUGUAGCAGUGAAAUGCGUAGAGAUGUGGAGGAACACCGAUGGCGAAGGCAGCCCCCUGGGUCAAGAUCGACGCUCAUGCACGAAAGCGUGGGGAGCAAACAGGAUUAGAUACCCUGGUAGUCCACGCCCUAAACGAUGUCUACUAGUUGUCGGGUCUUAAUUGACUUGGUAACGCAGCUAACGCGUGAAGUAGACCGCCUGGGGAGUACGGUCGCAAGAUUAAAACUCAAAGGAAUUGACGGGGACCCGCACAAGCGGUGGAUGAUGUGGAUUAAUUCGAUGCAACGCGAAAAACCUUACCUACCCUUGACAUGUCAGGAACCUCCGAGAGAUUGGAGGGUGCUCGAAAGAGAACCUGAACACAGGUGCUGCAUGGCUGUCGUCAGCUCGUGUCGUGAGAUGUUGGGUUAAGUCCCGCAACGAGCGCAACCCUUGUCAUUAGUUGCUACGAAAGGGCACUCUAAUGAGACUGCCGGUGACAAACCGGAGGAAGGUGGGGAUGACGUCAAGUCCUCAUGGCCCUUAUGGGUAGGGCUUCACACGUCAUACAAUGGUACAUACAGAGGGCCGCCAACCCGCGAGGGGGAGCUAAUCCCAGAAAGUGUAUCGUAGUCCGGAUCGCAGUCUGCAACUCGACUGCGUGAAGUUGGAAUCGCUAGUAAUCGCGGAUCAGCAUGCCGCGGUGAAUACGUUCCCGGGUCU
rnacentral:rRNA from 1 species